CUACGGGUGGCUCCAGGCGCGCAAACUUUACAAUGCGAGCAAUCGUGAUAAGGAAACCCUGAGUGCCUGUCGAUGCAGGCUGUUCAUAUAUCUAAAUCAUAUGUGAAGAAAGGGCAGGGCAAGACCGGUGCCAGCCGCCGCGGUAAUACCGGCUGCUCGAGUGAUGGCCACUAUUACUGGGUUUAAAGCGUCCGUAGCUUGACUGUUAGGUCUCUUGGGAAAUCUUCGCGCUCAACGUGAAGGCGUCUAAGAGAUACCGGCAGUCUUGGAACUGGGAGAGGUAAACCGUACUUCUGGGGUAGGAGUGAAAUCUUGUAAUCCUCGAGGGACGACCUAUGGCGAAGGCAGUUUACCAGAACAGCUUCGACAGUGAGGGACGAAAGCUGGGGGAGCAAACGGGAUUAGAUACCCCGGUAGUC
rnacentral:rRNA from 1 species